rnacentral:rRNA from 1 species
AACGAACGCUGGCGGCAGGCUUAACACAUGCAAGUCGAGCGCCCCGCAAGGGGAGCGGCAGACGGGUGAGUAACGCGUGGGAAUCUACCGUACCCUACGGAAUAACGCAUGGAAACGUGUGCUAAUACCGUAUACGCCCUUAGGGGGAAAGAUUUAUCGGGGUAUGAUGAGCCCGCGUUGGAUUAGCUAGUUGGUGGGGUAAAGGCCUACCAAGGCGACGAUCCAUAGCUGGUCUGAGAGGAUGAUCAGCCACAUUGGGACUGAGACACGGCCCAAACUCCUACGGGAGGCAGCAGUGGGGAAUAUUGGACAAUGGGCGCAAGCCUGAUCCAGCCAUGCCGCGUGAGUGAUGAAGGCCUUAGGGUUGUAAAGCUCUUUCACCGGUGAAGAUAAUGACGGUAACCGGAGAAGAAGCCCCGGCUAACUUCGUGCCAGCAGCCGCGGUAAUAC